rnacentral:rRNA from 1 species
UAUGGUUUCCAGAGAUGGAUCCCUUCAGUUCGGCUGGCUAGAACACAGGUGCUGCAUGGCUGUCGUCAGCUCGUGUCGUGAGAUGUUGGGUUAAGUCCCGCAACGAGCGCAACCCUCAUCCUAGUUGCCAUCACGUUUGGGUGGGCACUCUAAGGAAACUGCCGGUGGCAAGCCGGAGGAAGGUGGGGAUGACGUCAAGUCCUCAUGGCCCUUACGGGUAGGGCUACACACGUGCUACAAUGGCAGUGACAAUGGGAUAAUCCCAAAAAGCUGUCUCAGUUCGGAUUGUCGUCUGCAACUCGACGGCAUGAAGGUGGAAUCGCUAGUAAUCGUGGAUCAGCAUGCCACGGUGAAUACGUUCCCGGGCCUU